rnacentral:antisense_RNA from 1 species
CUUGAUGGAGCCGAGCAGCAGAGGCCGGUCCGCGGGCCGGUCCUGCCCGUACGUCGCCAGCAGCGCCUGGGCCUC